AACGAACGCUGGCGGCAUGCCUAACACAUGCAAGUCGAACGAGACCUUCGGGUCUAGGGGCGCACGGGUGCGUAACGCGUGGGAACCUGCCCUUAGGUUCGGAAUAACUCCCCGAAAGGGGUGCUAAUACCGGAUAAUGUCUUCGGACCAAAGAUUUAUCGCCUUGGGAUGGGCCCGCGUUGGAUUAGCUAGUUGGUAGGGUAAAAGCCUACCAAGGCGAGGAUCCAUAGCUGGUCUGAGAGGAUGAUCAGCCACACUGGGGCUGAGACACGGCCCAGACUCCUACGGGAGGCAGCAGUGGAGAGUAUAGGGCGAUGGACGAAAGACUGAUCCAGCAAUGCCGCGUAAGAGGUGAAGGCCUUAGGGUUGUAAAGCUCUUUUUCCCGAGGUGAUAAUGACAGUACCGGGAGAAUAAGCGCCGGCUAACUCCGUG
rnacentral:rRNA from 1 species